AUGCUUUCCACCUGGCUACCCCUACCCCGGUCAACAGCCCUGCGACCCCCCACAGCAACUUGCCCAAGCCUCCCUAAUUUCUCCUUCACCCAAAUCCAGAUAGCUGAUGUUCUGAAAGAGCUGCAAAAUCUGGACCCCUACAAAUCAGCCGGGCUAGACAAUCUGGACCCCCUCUUUCUAAAAUUAUCUGCCAAAAUUGUUGCAACCCCUAUUACUAGCCUGUUCAACCUCUUUCGUAUCGUCUCCUUUAGAUUGGAAAGCUGCCGUGGUCAUCCCCCUCUUCAAAGGGGGAGACACUCUAGACCCAAACUGCUACAGACCUAUAUCUACCCUUACCCUGCCUUUAAGGUCUUCGAAAGCCAAGUUAACAAACAGAUCACCGACCAAUUCGAAUCCCAACGUACCUUCUCCGCUAUUCAAUCUGGUUUCCGAGCUGGUCAUGGGUGCACCUCAGCCACGCUCAAGGUCCUAAACGAUAUCAUAACCGCCAUCGAUAGAGACAAUACUGUGCAACUGUAUUCAUCGACCUGGCCAAGGCUUUCGACUGUCAAUCACCACAUUCUUAUUUGCAGACUCAACAGCCUUGGUUUCUCAAAUGACUGCCUCGCCUGGUUCACCAACUACUUCUCAGACAGAGUUCAGUGUGUCAAAUCGGAGGGCCUGUUGUCCGGACCUCUGGCAGUCUCUAUGGGGGUGCCACAGGGUUCAAACCUCGGGCCGACUCUUUUCUCUGUAUACAUCAAUGAUGUCGCUCUUGCUGCUGGUGAUUCUCUGAUCCAUCUCUACGCAGACGACACCAUUCUGUAUACUUCUGGCCCCUCUUUGGACACUGUGUUAACUAACCUCCAGACGAGCUUCAAUGCCAUAGAACUCUCAUUCCGUGGCCUCCAACUGCUCUUAAAUGCAAGUAAAACUAAAUGCAUGCUCUUCAACCAAUCGCUGCCCGCACCUGCCCGCCCAUCUAGCAUCACUACUCUAGACGGUUCUGACUUAGAAUAUGUGGACAACUACAAAUACCUAGGUGUCUGGUUAGACUGUAAACUCUCCUUCCAGACUCACAUUAAGCAUCUCCAAUCCAAAAUUAAAUCUAGAAUCAGCUUCCUAUUUUGCAAAAAAGCAUCCUUCACUAAUGCUGCCAAACAUACCCUCGUAAAACUGACUAUCCUACCGAUCCUCGACUUCGAUGGCAUUUACAAAAUAGCCUCUAACACUCUUCUCAGCAAACUGGAUGUAGUCUAUCACAGUGCCAUCCGUUUUGUCACCAAAGCCCCAUAUACUACCCACCACUGCGACCUGUAUGCUCUCGUUGGCUGGCCCUCGCUUCAUACUCGUCGCCAAACCCACUGGCUCCAGGUCAUCUUUAAGUCUUUGCUAGGUAAAGCCCCGCCUUAUCUCAGCUCACUGGUCACCAUAGCAGCACCCACCCGUAGCACUUGCUCCAGCAGGUAUAUUUCACUGGUCACCCCCAAAGCCAACUCCUCCUUUGGCCGCCUUUCCUUCCAGUUCUCUGCUGCCAAUGACUGGAACGAACUGCAAACAACAACAAUUUUUUUUUUAAAUCACUGA
rnacentral:lncRNA from 8 species